CCCAUUAGAUCUGGUCCCGCUCCGAUCUUCUAGAGAUUGGAGGCGGUCUUCAUUCUCUCUGAACGGAAGAGUGCAUAAAAUAGGGCUCUUCUGCUUCCGAGUCUUCUCUCUUGUGGCGAUUUAGAGGUUGCGUCACGGAGACGCAGCUCAGCUCCUCUAUAAAAGCGCUGAGACUCUCUUCCCUCCUUCCGCCUCUGCCGUCUCCUGAUCCGGUAAGGUUUUGUUUUGGAUUGCCCAUUAGAUCUGGUCCCGCUCCGAUCUUCUAGAGAUUGGAGGCGGUCUUCAUUCUCUCUGAACAGAAGAGUGCAGAAAAUAGGGCUCUUCUACUUCUGAGUCUUCUCUUUCGCGGCGAUUUAGAGGUUGCGUCGCGGAGAGGCAGCUCAGCUCCUCUAUAAAAGCGCUGAGACUCUCUUUCCUCCUUCCGCCUCUUCUGUCUCCUGAUCCGGUAAGGUUUUCUUUCGAUUGCCCAUUAGAUCUGGUCCCGCUCCGAUCUUCUAGAGAUUGGAGGCGGUCUUCGUUCUCUCUGAAGGGAAGAGUGCAGAAAAUGGGGCUCUUCUACUUCCGAGUCCUCUCUCUUGCGGCGAUUUAGAGGUUGCGUCACGGAGACGCAGCUCAGCUCCUCUAUAAAAGCGCUGAGACUCUCUUUCCUCCUUCCGCCUCUGCCGUAUCCUGAUCCGGUAAGGUUUUCUUUUUGAUUGCCCAUCGGAUCUGGUCCCGCUCCGAUCUUCUAGAGAUUGAGGCGGUCUUCAUUCUCUCUGAACGGAAGAGUGCAGAAAAAGGGGCUCUUCUACUUCUGAGUCUUCUCUCUUGUGGCGAUUUAAAGGUUGCGUCACGGAGACGCACCUCAGCUCCUCUAUAAAAGCGCUGAGACUCUCUUUCCUCCUUCCGCCUCUGCCGUCUCCUGAUCCGGCCGAAAAUGCUAAAUUACCCUCAUCCUGCUGUAUAAUUGUCUCAGGAUUGCUCUGUUGGGCUCUUAUA
rnacentral:lncRNA from 1 species